UAUAUACUCCCUCUGUCCGGAAAUACUUGUCAUCAAAAUGGAUAAAAGGGAUGUAUCUAGAUGUAUUUUAGUUUUAGAUACAUCCCUUUUUGUCCAUUUUGAUGACAAGUACUUUCGGACGGAGGGAGUAUAAU
rnacentral:pre_miRNA from 1 species